rfam:Triticum aestivum genome assembly, contig: Triticum_aestivum_CS42_TGACv1_scaffold_306820_4AS
AUUAUACUCUCUCUGUCCCAAAAUUCUCGUCGUCGAUUUUUCUAAAUACGGAUGUAUCAAGUCACGUUUUAUUAUUAGGUACAUCCGUAUCUAGACAAAUCUAGGACAAGAAUUUUGGGAUUGAGGGAGUAUGAU